AGAGUAUAGAGGCAGCUGUUAUUGCUAUUAACUGGGAAGAAAGGAAUCCGAGAAUAGAAUCUCGGAUGGAAGUUCUAAUAAUUCACAUAGGAAAUCACAUACUCCAGCACCUAAUAGUCCAAUUAGGUGUGAAAAUGAUACAACCUCAGAUUAUUCGAAGAGACCUCCAAGGGGCAAAGCAAAGGGGGUUAAAAAUUUUAAGAACAUAAAGGUCGGGUUGAAGUUCAGUUCAAUGUCAGAGGUCAGCCUUAUGGGGAAUAUGCAUCAGGGUUCUCCUCCUUCCUUGGAGUCAUAGCAAGAGAGUUCGUACCAUUGACAACUGAGUGGAAAAACCUCACUGAUAUGUACAAAAGACAAAUUUGGGAACAUGUCACGAUCAUUGACAAUGAAAGAAGUGAUGCAGCAACCUGAAUCGGUAGGCUUCCACGUGCUGCUGCCCUCCUCAAACCUGAUAAUAUAGAUUCAAUUGAAGUGUGGCUGGAUUUUGUAUAAUUCAGAACCACAGAAGCAUUUAGGGAAAAGUGUGAAGGAUUCAGGUUGAUGCAACAAAGCAAAACCUUAUUGCAUAGAACAAGUAGAAAGAGUUUUGCAUGUUUUGAAGAAGAGCUGAAGCAACAAAGUGAGACACUGGAUGCAAUAUCAAGGCCCGAUAUUUGGCUUCGGGCCUAUGAAGUGAAGAAAAAAGCAAGCUAAGAAGUUGAGGAUCCAGAAAUAGUGAACCUAGUACAAAAAUACAAGGAAGAAGAAGAACACAACCAUGUUCUAUAAAAGUUGAUGCUGUUACAAAGGCACUUGGUCUUGACCUGCGAGGAAAAGUUAGAGGGCUUGGGUUUGGUUCACUCCCUUCAAAAGUGGAUGGUCAGACACAUGUUGCUAAUAAGGUCACUAUGCUAGAGAACGCUCUUGUUUCUCAAACACAACAGGUGGACCAAUUGACAAAGUUAGUGCAAGGCCUCGUUGCUCGGCUAGACAAAGGAGAGAAUGUCAAUGAAAACACAAGUGUGCAGCAUUCUGCUAAUUGGAUUGCACUGAGAAGAUGAAAAGAGAAUCUGAACUGUUCUAGUGAUAUAGCAGAAAGCAAACAGAAAGAUGCAAGUGCUAUAAGUUCUAACAGGGAGAGGGGCAGUAG